rnacentral:tRNA from 2 species
GCCUGGUUAGUUCAGUUGGUGAAACGUUCCAUUGCAAAUGGAGAAGUCCCGGGUUCGAUACCCAGACCAGGCG